GUAUCGAAACUGUGUGAAGUGCUGCAAAAAUAUAUAGCAAGACUGGCUGCUGUUUUUUCAGAUUUGAGCGGGCGUUUCUGUGCUAAGUCUCCCUUUUCCGGAAUAUGUAAAAUUAAAGAUAAUUUUUUGAGUUAGACCACUUUGAGCUGUGUCUUUUUUGGCCGUUAAAGAAUACAAAGAACUGGAUUUAAUAGUUGUAGUAUGUAGAGUUGUCCCCAGCUUACAACAGCCAAACUCAUCUAUCUGCCUUCGUCCCAGCACAUCACACAAAGCAGGAGAUUCACUCUUUAUCACAGAAACAAAGUGAUUUAGUGUGCAGCAUCCACACUUGUUCCAGUUGCCCCCAAAUCAACACAAAACAGUUUGUUAUGGUUACAAAACACACAAUGAAGUAACUUCAACAAAUGUUAAUAUGGAAUAAAAGUAAAACAUGAGGAAUAAAAGCAGUCUGGCUCUUUAAGAACAGAGAGGAUUUUCCUCUGUGGGUUUAUCUUUGAAUGCAGUGAAUCAGUCUUCACUGAUAAAGUUUAUGGAUCUGAGCUGCUAACUGACAAACUAUCUGCUUUUUGUUUAGGUUGUAAUGGAAAUGAAUUUAUAUAUAAUAGUGAUUGCACAAGAUUCAGAGAACCCUACUGACAACACAACCUUUCUGAAACACUUCAACCAGAACCUGCAGAGCAACAAUGAAACAUGUUCCUUUUCUUUGUACAGUUUUGGGGCUGAUUGUUCUUUAAACACCAAACUGUCCAUAAAUGAUUUGACCUUUUCAUGCACUCAAUACAUGAUGUGCACACUGAAUCCAUAAAGUGUCGAUGGCUGGCUGAGGUCUGAAUAAAAUGUUUCAUCAUCA